CGGCUAUUGCCGUCGGGGUGGCCUCCUCCCUCUGCCAUGGGCGCACCGAGUGGGAGGUUGAAGAAGGCCGGCUAGGCGGGCCCCUCCCUGCGCGGCCCCACCUGGCAGACUCACGGAGCCCGGCCCCGCCCUUGCCAGCAUGGCAAGUGGAGGCGUCUUCCCGUGAAGUACGUUUUCCCAUGAGUUAAACGUAACCUGAGGUAUUACGCUUCUUUCUUCUAAAAUCGUAUAUUCCCUCUGCUUUAGCCAAAAAUGCAUUUUCCCUGCCUUAAGACGUAAUCUAUGAAAUGCGUUUUCUGAUUUCCAGCCAGGGGCCUGUUUGUAGAAGUUAUUUUUACAGAUUGGUCCCUGAACUUCGUUUGGCUAUAACUUUUCAACCACAGCUCCGAUCGAGGUGAUUCCAAAGCCUACUUCUUCGUCUUGUCAAGCUCGUUCUGUUGGUAUCAAUUUCAUUAUGUUUUGACAUACUGGCAAUGACCUUUAUGCCCUUUCCCCUAAUUAGCCGCCUCCGAGAGAGAACCUUUUUCGGCGAUUCGUUCCGCGAGCUUUCCGCACUUUUCCCUCGUGUAUUCUUCAUCCCCAGGCAAGCCACAACACCCACUUGCAUGAUGACCAUGCAUUAGCCAUGGUUUUCAACUUGAACAUUUAAUAAAUGUCUGCUUGUUGUGAUACGGUUAUCGUUGUUUCUGUGAUGCUUAUGGAUUUGUGUUCAAUUUCAUGCUAUGUUUUUAUCCACCUGGUUAUCAUGUACUAGAUGCUAGUAUUUCUUUCAUAUGUCAUGCUUGGGUAGUGGUACCUGUUGGUGUUGGUUGUGCUCCUCGGUGCAUGACUAUCGUCUGUUACCGAGUACCAUUGUUAUGUAUGUUCCUUUGUAUAUAGUAGUUAAAUGCUUACUUAAUACUAUUCUUGAUAUGUUCUUGCAUGGUAUUUAUUGUUGAUGCUAGUGGUCAUGCUAUGUUUCUGAGUAGUGGAUGCUUGUGAUGUGCAUGUUAGUCAGUAUGCCAUGCUCAGUCGGAUAUAUGAUUUAUUGUUAUUGAUAUGUUAGGAAGUGAUGUUGCACAUCUAUGCUUAUGUUGAUAUCAUGUUCAUGCAUUAUAGUUGCAUCAUGUUAUUUUAAUAUGACUCAGCUUAUUGCAUUCAAGUUUAACCACAUAAUAAUGAACUUGAACAACUAUUGGCUGAGUCAUGGUGCCACCAAAUCGAGCUGACCAGUGCAGCCACACUUGCCUUAUGGGGGGUCUUAACUGGGUCUAUUGCCAUGCCUCUCAUCGGUGCCUCCAAAGAGGGAAGCUUAUGCGGGUGCUACCUUGGCCGGGUAGGACGACAUAAGCCUUGUGAGCCCGAGUUUGGUUAUGUGCACAUGUCCCCGUUUGGGACCGUUUAUGGUUUUGCCAUGAUGGUGGCCAUUGGGUGUCAUUGGUUGGCACGGGGCCACCCAGGACUUACCCCAGAGGGGAGUUUGUCGGAGUGGCUGGAAGAGUGUCAUGGUCAAUGGAUCGGUUUUGUCGGAACAUCGUUGGUCCACCCGAAUGGGAGUGCGAGGCCAUGGGUUCCGUGGUGUGGGUACAGUGUACUAACCUCUAUAGAGUGUGUGUGUGUGUUAAAUCUAUCGAUAGCCGCACCCGUGGAUAUGGGCCCAGUUCAUAGCCGGUCACACUAUGGGUCAACAGUGAUAAUAAUAAUGUGCUUAAUAACCCCAGUUCGAUGAUGAAAGAAGUUGGUUAUGUGAUCGUGAGAGGAUCACCGUGGUAUCGUGGAUACCAAAGUUGGUUAUGUGAUCGUGAGAGGGUCACCGUGGCAUUGUGGAUAUCGAAGUUGGUUAUGUGAUCGUGAGAGGAUCACCGUGGCAUCGUGGAUGCCGAAGUUGGUUAUGUGAUCGUGAGAGGAUCACCGUGGUAUUAAGUAUACCGAGUUGUUGGAUAUUUGUGGUGUUAUGCGAGAAUCAUGGGUAAAGAUCAAGCUCCUUGUGGUCAUGUCAUGAUUACUACGGUAUGGUUAAUACCAAUCUUUAUUGGAUCCUAUGAUGAUCAUGUGAUGUCCGCGGUGGUAAGUGAUGCAUGUGAUGGUUAGGAGGUAACCCGAGCAGAGUAAGUUGGUGCAUGAUACUAUCAUCAUGUUGCAUCCUAGUAUUCUCAUGUUCAUGUAUUCAUGCCAUACUAUUAUUGUGCUAGCGAUACCAUGUUGUUCAUGCCAUGUUGCUUUGAUAGUAUCAUGUUAAUCCUUGCUAACCGGUAAUUGCCAUGAUGUUGUUUGUCUUGAUUGUGUUUGGUUGCUGUGAGCUUGCAAGUACAUUCAAUGUACUGACCUGUUGUGUCAUGCUAGUUUGCAGGUCAUGCCGGAUUUGAUUGCUUGUUUGCCGUGGAUUCCUUGUUUGCGAUCUAGGAUAAGCAUUCCGGCCAGAGUCCUUGUGGAGUGGAGUUCAUCACCGUCGUCGUUGUUCCGCUGCUUCGUGUUGUUCUGCUGCUUGCAUAGAGCAACCAUGACAGGCGUAGUGUCGCCGUGCCGAUGUAAUUCCCAUGUACCCAUUUAGAUUGUAAUAAAGAGCUUAUUUGUUCUAUGCUAAGCAGUGCCGUAUUCCAGAAGACUUCUCCUCGAUCUCUAGGCUGGAAUACGGGGCAACGACUAUUCAAACAGACUAACUUCCCUGCAAGGGUGCAAAAAC
rnacentral:lncRNA from 1 species